UUUCCGUAGGUGAACCUGCGGAAGGAUCAUUAUUGUAUAACCGAGGUGCGAGGGCUGUCGCUGACCCGACGGGUCGUGCACGCCCGAGUGCCCUCACACACAUCCAUCUCACCCCUAUGUGCACCACCGCGUGGGUCCCCCUUUGGCUUGUUCGGAGGGGGGCUUACGUUUUCACACAAACUUUGUAUGCAGUGUAGAAUGUAUUUUUUGUUUUUGCGAUCACGCAAUCAAUACAACUUUCAACAACGGAUCUCUUGGCUCUC
rnacentral:misc_RNA from 1 species